rnacentral:rRNA from 1 species
GACGAACGCUGGCGGCGUGCUUAACACAUGCAAGUCGAGCGGUAAGGCCCUUCGGGGUACACGAGCGGCGAACGGGUGAGUAACACGUGGGUGACCUGCCCUUCACUCUGGGAUAAGCCUGGGAAACUGGGUCUAAUACCGGAUAUGACCUGCUCUCGCAUGGGGGUUGGUGGAAAGUCAGUAUUGUAGUGAUGCUGGCGGUGGGGGAUGGGCCCGCGGUCUAUCAGCUUGGGUGGGGUGAUGGCCUACCAAGGCGACGACGGAUAGCCGGCCUGAGAGGGCGACCGGCCACACUGGGACUGAGACACGGCCCAGACUCCUACGGGAGGCAGCAGUGGGGAAUCUUGCGCAAUGGGCGGAAGCCUGACGCAGCAACGCCGCGUGGGGGAUGACGGCU